rnacentral:misc_RNA from 1 species
AAGACUAUAGACCUGCGGAGUACCUGCGGAAGGAUCAUUAAUGAGAAACUGCCCCUCGCGGGUAGAUCUCCCACCCUUUGUAAACUUACCUUUGUUGCUUUGGCAGGCCCGUCUCCGGACCGCCGGCUUCGGCUGGCCAGUGCCUGCCAGAGGAUUCUAAAACUCUGUCUGUCAGUGUUGUCUGAGUCUAUAUACAAUCGUUAAAACUUUCAACAAUGGAUCUCUAGAUCGGAAGAGCAC